rnacentral:rRNA from 1 species
GAUGAACGCUAGCGGUAGGCCUAACACAUGCAAGUCGAACGGUAACAUGAGAGCUUGCUCUUGAUGACGAGUGGCGGACGGGUGCGUAACACGUAUGCAACAUACCCUUUACUGGGGGAUAGCCCAGAGAAAUCUGGAUUAAUACCCCAUAAUAUCAUUGAUUCGCAUGUUUCGAUGAUUAAAACUCCGGUGGUAAAGGAUUGGCGUGCGGCCCAUUAGUUUGUUGGUGAGGUAACGGCUCACCAAGACUACGAUGGGUAGGGGGUCUGAGAGGAUGAUCCCCCACACUGGUACUGGGACACGGACCAGACUCCUACGGGAGGCAGCAGUGAGGAAUAUUGGUCAAUGGACGAAAGUCUGAACCAGCCAUACCGCGUGCAGGAAGACAGCCCUAUGGGUCGUAAACUGCUUUUGUUUGCCAAGAAACCUCCCCUCGUGAGGGGAGCUGACGGUAGCAUUCGAAUAAGGACCGGCUAACUCCGUGCCAGCAGCCGCGGUAAUACGGAGGGUCCAAGCGUUAUCCGGAUUUAUUGGGUUUAAAGGGUCCGUAGGCGGAAAGAUAAGUCAGUGGUGAAAGCCUGGGGCUCAACCAUAGAAUUGCCAUUGAUACUGUCUUUCUUGAGUGCACAUGAUGUGGGCGGAAUGUGUCGUGUAGCGGUGAAAUGCUUAGAUAUGACACAGAACACCGAUUGCGAAGGCAGCUCACAAAAGUGUAACUGACGCUGAGGGACGAAAGCGUGGGGAGCGAACAGGAUUAGAUACCUGGUAGUCCACGCCGUAAACGAUGAUCACUCGA